GCAGCCCGGAUUAGAGAAAAAUACCCAGACAGAAUUUUGGAGCAUGGGGUACAUCUUACAGUGUCCUUGAGUUGUAAGUCAAACUUUGCUAUAUUGGAUGAGAAAACAAGAAUAGUAACCAGCAGGAAGGCUGAUAGACACUUUAAGGAGGAAAUGCCAAUAUUAUGUGCAGCACUUGAAUGUGUUCCGGAGGUUUAUAUGUCUGUAAACAAAAC